CACUGCUGGCAACAACAAUGGCAUGAUGCAACACCCUGGCUACCGGCAGGUGUGGUCGGUAAUGGAUGGGACUGAAUUUGGAGCCAUCUCAAAGUGAUGACAGACCAUAUGGCCAAUUCCUCUGCCCAAAUAACGUGUGCAUAUGGAAACAGGAAUACAAAGGCAACACGGGACUGUAGAAGCUCAGCCACGAGGGAAAGCAAGCCUUUGGAAAAUCAACUAUGCUGUGAAGACUUUCUCCCUGAGCCUUGCCUUCUUAUCUGGAAUGUUUCAGCCUUGGGAAAAUUGCUUAAAAAGAGCUCUGCUUUCUCUCCCCAGGACUGAUGGUGUACAGAUUGGAUCAUGUAUGGAAUGGAUUCUUAUUUUCCAUAUGCAGAAGCCUAUAUUUUUAAGUAAUUUGCGAGCCGGAUUCCUCAGGAGACGACCAGGUUGCUGGCUUAGUAGAAAAACCCCCCUGAAUUCAGGACCUGAAUUCAGUAAGACCAGAUUCUAGCAUGUACAGAAAAUUUGUCAUGGGAACACCUUUCCUAAUAAUGAGGUCACCAACUAUGCAAACCUAGGAAGAGGGGGAAACAAUACACUAUUCUCACAUGCAAUUCAACUCCACUUAAAGUCAAGGAUAAAGACUUUUUGCUUUUCAAUCUAGAGUCUCCUUAAAACAAAAGGCAGAGACUACAGAGUGGUUCUAUAUCAGCUGAUCUCAGAAAAAUAUACUUGAAGUGCUUAACCUUAAAAUAGGCGAUGAAUCCGGAAGUUGAGUGAGAGAACAAGAAUUAAGCAGAAAUAUGAAGUGGACAUGGCUUGUCUUUAAAAUCAUUCCUAUAUUUAGGCUUCUUCCAUACAUCAGAUUCCUUAUGUCUGGUGGCUUGUUUUCUCAGUUUAUGGCUUCUAUAUCAUUCUCACCCCCCCCCGUGAUGUUUCUCUGCUGAAAUGACUUUCUUUUAGAAUCUAGGGAAGUGAUAAUAAAUUACAGCUAUUAAUAAUAUUAAUAAUGAUU
rnacentral:lncRNA from 1 species